CUCCGGAAGUGGGUCCCGGGCUGCCAUGGCCUCCCACAUCCGGCCUCUUCCACCCCGCACCCCAGCCCGUCACCGCCGCCACCGCGGGAGCUCCCCGCGAGGCAGUCUUCAACACUGGAGACUCUACACUGGUCACACGAUUGAAGACGAACUGUGGGCCAAUGGUGAUGUGGGGCUUCUGUCAUACUGGCCAAUUUCCAGGACAAGAUGGCACUUGCAAGGAUAGUGGAAGAAUAAAAGUACCUAAUGCAAAAGAUCGUGAGAAUGGAAUCUAAACUCCACUUUGAUGGACCUACUGGGAAGGAGCCAUGGGACCGGCAGCCACCCGGCACAGCAGGCCAACUACACCUAAGUGGGCCCACCGGGAAAGAGCCAUGGGACUGGCAGCCAGCAGAACGCAACAGGCCCACCUGGACUGGGCUCAUCUGGAAGGAGCUGAACACAGCAACCCAAGCCAACCCAGGUUGAGUUCAAGUUCAAGUCCAGUAGAUCUAGACCUGGUGAGCUGAGGUGUACUGCUGGACCCAGCUGAGGCCACACUGAAGCCCAGAACUGUAGGAGCAUCCUCAUGGCACAGAGCUGGCAGCAGAAGUAAGCUUGAGCGUUUUAUAUCGGCUAUUCCUCGAGGAGCAGCAGCAGGCAGUGAGCCCAGCUGGAUCUCCUGGACUGUCAUUUGGAUGUGAGUGAGCAAGGUGGACUGCACAUCUGGCAGGAUUUAUUGGCCUUACUCACAUCUUUUGACCAACUAAUGCUAAUUGAUACUGAGAAGUCAGAAGCUAAGUUAUCGCUUCUUUUGGAGAAACUUGAGCUUUCCAGUCUAGAUGCCCAUUUCCACACUAGCACAGCAGUAUCUGAAGAGGAACGCGGAGGCCCAGUGAACAGCCACAGGGAAGGAAGACAGAAGUAGCCACAGAGGAAACUCAGAUUGUAGAGCAGCGCUAGGCAGAAAUCUACCCUGUGGGCAGCAGAACCAAAUGAAAAGAAGGUGCCACACAGUGGAAAGAACAGACUGUAGCUGUGUUGCCAGCAAUAAAAAUGGGAGCAGAAGGAGCCUGAGCUGCAACCCAUCCUCCCAGGAGCAGUGCCCACAUCCUGAUCUUCCUGGGCCCAUCACUGCGAUUUGAGACCUUCCACAUAAAAGGUCAGAGUGUACCACCAGUAGGGUUGCCAGAUAUUUGCAUUCAGAUAAAAAACCAAAUACUUGUUCCUGCAUGAGGUAUGUUUAUACUAAAAAUACUCUUAUCAUUGUUUAUCUAAAACUCAAAUUACCAGGGCAUGCUGAUUUUUGUUUUUUGCUUUGCUAAAUCGCACAUCUAAAUUUUUUUUGUUAUUAGGAUAAUACAUGAAGUUGAACCUCAACAUUAAGAUGACAUUAAAGUAGUGGGAUCUUAGCGAGGUGGCAUCUUCCAAAAAGGGUGUUGAGUCCCUCAGGCUCAAGUGUUUAGUCAGUAAUUCCCAGUGGCAGGCCUUUUCCUUAGGAGCUAUGGAACAUAAAUUGAAAAGAAAGACUUGAUAUAGUGUGAUUUGUAAGUGAUAGUAAGAAAUACUGAGAAGUUUCCUUCUGUAGGUUACAGUUCAUAAGUUGUGAAUCCAAGACAAUGCUAGCACCUUGGGGAAAGGGGUAAGAACUAGGGAGGAGAGGGGAUGGGGCAGAGUAGAGAUCACAGUGUAUGGCCCACGAAUUGCCUCAUAAAGCUGGUGUAUGGGAGUGAUUCUUUGUUACACUGGCUAACAAUUAUUUCUUAACUGCAAUUAAAGUCCAAAAUAUUUGAAGCUACCAAAUGACACUUGAACUUGAGAGCAUUAUUUAUAGAAACUGUUAGGUCCACAGCUAGUCAAUUAGUUUCACACUGAAAAGUGAAGGCAGUCUUUGCCUUGGAAAAAUCACCCAUUAGAAGAACUUUCCCUUUUGGUGGAGUCUGCAUUCCCUGCGUAUAGAUAAUAAUGCUUCUUUUAAACCACAGUUCCCAGUUGCUUCAUUUACUGUAAUUCAUUUCUAAAAGUAUACACUGGGAUCUAAUACUGUUCCAUUCCACCUUGUAUGUGAUAAUGUGGGAUAGGAGGUAUUGUCUCAAUAACCAUGGUGACUUUUGUUUAUUUCCUUCUUUAAAGGGAGGGAUCAUUAAUUUCGAAAUUGAUUGGCAUGUUUCCUUAGAGCUGCUCCAGAUAGUUAUCUCUACAAUGCUUUUUCUUUUCAGUGACUCUGAACUUUAAAAAAUUUAUGUAACAAUCUCUUGAUUCAGAAAU